rnacentral:rRNA from 1 species
GGGUCUCUUUUUGGCGAGUUUUGGGUGAGACCAACAGUCUGGAACGGCUGCAAAUCCUACGCUUUACUUAGGCUGGAGAGACAGGCAAGGAGGAAUCCGGCCGCCUCCGAAGCGAGGGGCGUUGCGUCUUGAUUCAGCUAGUGUGGUCCUUGAGCGCCGCAUACUUAGCUCACCAUCAGUAGCGGAUGAAUCAGGGUUUCCAGCUUGGUCCGAGAAGGAGUUCAGUAUCUACCCCACACUUGGGCACGCUGAGUUGUAGACCCGCGUCCCAGGCGACGCGACGGUGGCAGGCGCAGAUGGGGAAUUUUCUCGCUAACUCCUGGGAACAAAAGCUCUGACGGAAGAACACAUGCCGGCGUGGAGGUAGAAUACGGCACGGGCAUGAACUUCUUUUCCCGGAGAUACGCAAUAGAGCAAAUGAGUCAUCACAGGUUAGUCGCGUGAGAGGAAGUCGACUAUUUCCCGCGCUUAACUCUGUGCCUAGCUAGCCGCCGUGUAAGACAGAGGAUGCAAGCGGUUUAUCUCGGAAUGAUUUGCGGCGGUAAGCGUCGUAGGUGGUUUUUGUAAGCCGCCGUCAAAUUCCCGUCAGGCUCAUAUGCAAAUGGAUAUUAUGGCGGUGGAGAGAGAUCAGGCCUAGGACGGUAACGCCGGUACGGGCGGAGAAGGGAUGUUCCGAAGGUCGACGGUGAAAGUGCGCUCAGAGAAAGAUCGGAAAUGGAGAUGCAUCCUGUAACCCCGAGGCACAAGCACUCAUGCUAGGUGCGUAGCACGUGCCCACUGAAGGUAGACAGAGAAGCUAGGGAGCGGAGAUUAGGGAUUAGAACCGGACUUAAAAAUCCACAGUGGACUCCUAACCGAGUAAACGAAGAUGGAAUACUAGUGCGCUGUGCGUAUCGACCCGUGCAGUGUUGUAGCUAACGCGUUAAGUAUCCCGCCUGGGGAGUACGUUCGCAAGAAUGAAACUCAAAGGAAUUGACGAGGGCCUGCACAAGCGGUGGAGCAUGUGGUUUAAAUCUAUGCAAAUAGAAGAACCUUACCAGGGCUUGACAUGCCGCAAAUCCUCUUAAAAGAGAGGGGUGCCUUCGAGAACGCGGACACAGGUGGUGCAUGGCUGUAGUCAGCUCAUGCCGUAAGGUAUUGGGUUAAAUCCCGCAACGAGCGCAACCCUCGUGUUUAGUUGCCAACGUUGAUUUUGGAACCCUAAACAGACUGCCGGUGAUAAGCCGGAGGAAGGUGAGGAUGACGUCAAGUCAUCAUGCCCCUUAUACCCUGGGCGACACACGUGCUACAAUGGCCGGGACAAAGGGNCGCGAUCCCGCGAGGGUGAGCUAACCCCAAUAACUGGUCCUCAGUUCGGAUUGCAGGCUACAACUCGCCUGCAUGAAGCCGGAAUCGCUAGUAAUCGCUGGUCAGCCAUAAGGCAGUGAAUUCGUUCCCUCCUUAUACACACCGCCCGUCACACUAUGGGAGCUGGACAUGUCCGAAGUCAUUACCUUAACCGCAAGGAGGGGGAUGCCGAAGGCGGGGCUAGUGACUGGAGUGAAGUCGUAACAAGGUAGCCAUACUGGAAGGUGCAGCUG